GUCUAUAGUCAGACCACCCUAAACGUGUUUGAUCUCAAAAGCUAAGCAGGGUUGGGCCUGGUUAGUACGUGGAUGGGAAAAUCAGAAAGAAUGAAUUAGUUCCCCAUUACUAAGGAGAAGGCAGCCUCCAUAAACC
rnacentral:rRNA from 1 species